CUCUAGGCUGCCGGUUGGGCUGCAGGCCUGGAGUUGGGGACCCAGGUGGGUGCGCAGUCAGACGCUCAGGUGAGCUGGCGCGGUGCGCGCAGGUGAGGGGCGCCCAGGACUUUCUUAGUGGGUUGAGAAGGAUCAAGUGGGCCUUUUGAAUUAAGAAAUUCCAGAGAUUUUAGAGAGGCCCGUUCAAGAAGGAACACUUCCAUUCUGCUGUGAAACCCCUAGACAAGACAUUGGAGGGCCCAAUGGCUGCAAACUCCCUACAUGAUGCUUCCAAAACCAAGAGUCCAGACUGCAUCACCAACAGCAGGGCCGCGACUCAAGGACAGUGGGGCCGU